GCGUCACUGAUGAGUCGUAUGAAGACGAAACGCGCGUCUGGCAU
rnacentral:hammerhead_ribozyme from 1 species